rnacentral:rRNA from 1 species
CCAGACUCCUACGGGAGGCAGCAGUGGGGAAUAUUGCACAAUGGGCGCAAGCCUGAUGCAGCCAUGCCGCGUGUAUGAAGAAGGCCUUCGGGUUGUAAAGUACUUUCAGUCGGGAGGAAGGUGUCAAGGUUAAUAACCUUGGCAAUUGACGUUACCGACAGAAGAAGCACCGGCUAACUCCGUGCCAGCAGCCGCGGUAAUACGGAGGGUGCAAGCGUUAAUCGGAAUUACUGGGCGUAAAGCGCACGCAGGCGGUCUGUCAAGUCGGAUGUGAAAUCCCCGGGCUCAACCUGGGAACUGCAUUCGAAACUGGCAGGCUGGAGUCUUGUAGAGGGGGGUAGAAUUCCAGGUGUAGCGGUGAAAUGCGUAGAGAUCUGGAGGAAUACCGGUGGCGAAGGCGGCCCCCUGGACAAAGACUGACGCUCAGGUGCGAAAGCGUGGGGAGCAAACAGGAUUAGAUACCCCCGUAUG